CCUGGAAAUGAUGUAAGCUUGCGGUUAUUCGCUACAGCGCUGUUUGCAGGAGCAGAAGAUUAGAUGACCUAUGUGUCCAUCAAUAGGAGACUGGUGCGGUACAGUGCGGCACGCCCGCGGCGGAAUGUUACGUGGCUGUCUAAAGAAUGAAGAUGUCACAAUGUGCUGGUCGGAAAAUGCUCCAGAACACAGCUCCCCAACUCCUUCAGGUGCACACCUGAGCCUUCCUACACAUGUGCAUGGCACCGGGCAUCUGACGGCACGAGCAUUCCCACCGACUGCUACCUGCCCAACAUCCUGCUUCCCUUCACCCAUCUUGGAUCCGCCUGCAGAGCACAUUUGCACUAAACCCUGUGGAUUCCUUUCCUACCAAAAAAUGCAGUUUCCUACCCAACGCUUAUUGUUCAAGUCUUCCCUGGAGAUGUCAUCAAUAGCAUGAAUGGCUCGUGCAGAACGAGAAGUGAAGGGCAGCAGUGUGCAUGGCUAAAAGACUGCAUUUCCUAGCCUCCCCUGCGGCAAGGUAGGACCAUGUGAUUUGGCCAACACGACAGAGUUUGAAGUGGGCAGUAGGCCCCUUUUGCAGUUCUUCCUUCUUCCUGCAGCUUGGAAUAAGGAUGAAUGGCUGGCACUCCAGCCGCCCUCUUGAACUAUGAAUUGACCUUGAGAAUAGAAACUGCAUGUUGGAAUGGUGCAAGAGGAAGAGAGAAGGCGCCUGAGUCUCCUUCGUGACUCUAAGAAGUUGUGAAGUUGACUCUAAGAAGUCUGACCUAUGUGCCCGCUGACUUGUUUUCCAUGAAUUAAAAAUAAAUGAAUUCCUCUCUU